rnacentral:misc_RNA from 1 species
CAGAGUUCUCGCCCUCGCGGGUAGAUCUCCCACCCACUGUUAUUGUUACUGUGUUGCUUUGGCGGGCUGCUAGGCCCAGCCUGGCCGCCGGCUCCGGCUGGCGCGCGCCCGCCAGAGGCCCGAUUAAUUCUGAUUGUCAGUGUCGUCCGAGUAACUAUAUAUAAUCGUUA